UAUGAGUCAGCACCGUCAUUACCUG
rnacentral:piRNA from 1 species